ACUGAAAGGUGCACCUCCACUGGCUCCAUUAACAAAGGGACCCUGUAAGCAGGUAUACAUAAACACUGCCUCUUGCUCCAGAAGCUACAUUGGUACUAUAAUCACAAGUGUAUUAUAAGUAUUCUUACUGGAGCUAUGUGAACUUACCAUACUGAAAAAAGAAAAAAAAAAAGAAAAAUGCCCUAGAAAUAAUUUGCUUCCUUUCUACCUCACAGAGCUUCUGUGGAAACAUGGUGCUUCCUACAAGAUGUUUUUCUGCAUCAGCAAAAAUUUUGUCAAAGUUGGGCAUAAUACAUUUAUCUUCUGACUUGUAUAGAUAUUGAUGAAAAUCCCAGUGCAGCUUCUUUCAUGCAUUUUCAAGGUUCAGGUUGGAUUGUUUGGGUUUUCCCAUACAUUUUCAGGAUUUCCAAUUGACUACGCUGUACCAUGUAAUCAAAAGGGUCGGUGAAAGCUAUUUCAACACCUCAGGGCCCAUGUGGAAAGAACAAGAAGACAGACAACCAAAAUAUGCAAGACAGAGAAGGUGGCCUGCAGUCUCCAAAAAGGAUCACUGGGCCUCUCCCCGCAAAAGGAUAAUAAGAUGAUUCUGUAUGAUCCUAGUAUCAACUGCCUUAAAAUCUCACAAAAAGGACAGACUAAGGACUUGAAAUCACUCAAAAUGGAACAGAAAAAUGUGGAAAUUCCAGUCUUGUUUCCGAUAUUUUUUCCUGAAAGACACUCUGGAG